UACGAAGGGGGCUAGCGUUGCUCGGAAUCACUGGGCGUAAAGCGCACGUAGGCGGAUCUUUAAGUCAGGGGUGAAAUCCUGGAGCUCAACUCCAGAACUGCCUUUGAUACUGGGGAUCUCGAGUCCGGAAGAGGAGAGUGGAAUUCCCGGUGUAGCGGUGAAAUGCGCAGAUAUCGGGAAGAACACCCGUGGCGAAGGCGGCUCUCUGGGACGGUACUGACGCUGAGACGCGAAAGCGUGGGGAGCAAACAGG
rnacentral:rRNA from 1 species